rnacentral:rRNA from 1 species
GACGAACGCUGGCGGCAGGCCUAACACAUGCAAGUCGAGCGAGCGGAGGACGGGUGAGUAAUGUAUGGGGAUCUGCCCGAUAGAGGGGGAUAACUACUGGAAACGGUGGCUAAUACCGCAUACUAUCGGAUGAACCCAUAUGGGAUUAGCUAGUGGGUGGGGUAAAGGCUCACCAAGGAGACGAUCCCUAGCUGGUCUGAGAGGAUGAUCAGCCACACUGGGACUGAGACACGGCCCAGACUCCGACGGGAGGCAGCAGUGGGGAAUAUUGCACAAUGGGCGCAAACCUGAUGCAGCCAUGCCGCGUGUAUGAGGAAGGCCUUAGGUUUGUAAAGUACUUUCAGCGGGGAGGCGUUACCCGCAGAAGAAGCACCGGCUAACUCCGUGCCAGCAGCCGCGGUAAUUC